rnacentral:rRNA from 1 species
AAUGAACGCUGGCGGCAGGCCUAAAACAUACAAGUCGAACGCCCUAGCAAUAGGGAGUGGCGCACGGGUGAGUAACAUGUGGGAAUAUGCCUUUUGGUACGGAACAACGUUUGGAAACGAACGCUAAUACCGUAUGGUCCCUCCGGGGUAAAGAUUUAUCCCCAAAAGAUUAGCCCGCACUAGAUUAGCUAGUUGGUAAGGUAAUGGCUUCCCAAGGCGACGAUCUAUAGCUGUUCUGAGAGGAAGAUGAGCCACACUGGGACUGAGACACGGCCCAGACUCCUACGGGAGGCAGCAGUUAGGAAUAUUGGACAAUGGAGGAAACUCUGAUCCAGCCAUGCCGCGUGAGUGAAGAAGGCCUUCGGGUUGUAAAGCUCUUUGAGUAGGGAAGAUAAUGACGGUACCUACAGAACAAGCCCCGGCUAACUCUGUGCCAGCAGCCGCGGUAACAC